rnacentral:tRNA from 1 species
GUUUAUGUAGCUCAAUUAAA